UCCGGUUCUAUUCCUUUUUGUUUGAAGUAAAGGCUUGUUAUCGACGAAUAAAUAAGCUCUUUCUACUUUGCCCUAAAAGCUCGUCCUAAGUAAAGCAGUUUUCACUCGAGAAGAUAGCUUAAGUUAUAGUUAUCACAGCUAAAGCGAUAGCAACUCAUGAACGAAGUGCUCGACCAAACAAGCAACGGAUUGAUUAAGCGCACUAGCGCGAAAGCCUAUUCGUCUAA
rnacentral:misc_RNA from 1 species